UCCUCACUCUUAGCACUCACUCUCACCCUAGGAAGAUCAAUUCACUCACUUAGCUUUCUUGUUUUUUCAUGGUUACAUUAGCAAUGGAGAGCAUGUAUUUAUAGGGUGGUAGAAUGCUCUAGAUUUAUAAAUUAUUUUAAAUGUGUGAGGCGGUGAAACUUUGUGUGAAGCUUCUUUGAUGAUUCAAGAAUGUUCUAGGUGCUGCUCCUUAUCAUUUGGUGUAGGUUUUAAGGGUGGAUUAAUUGAGGGUAGGAUUCGAGUAGGGUUUCUGCGAUCGUGAGGAUGGAGCCCGGGCGCCGGAUGGGUGGCAACCGGGCCAAGUCGAAGGAGGAGUUGGUUCGGGGGAUCUGGUACUGACCAAAGUGAAGGGAUUCCUGGUGUGGCGUGCUAAGAUAAGCAGGCCAGAGGAUUUCAACAUGGAGCCUGAAUCCCAGAAAUUCUUUGUUCAGUUCUUUGCAACAUGUGAAAUUGGUUUGGUUGCCUUGGCUGAUAUUUAAGUAUUACUAGUUAAUCAAAGACAAUUAAAUAUUUUGCUCGUGCUGUGGAGGAGAUAUGUGAUGCUUUUGAGAAAGAGCGCAAGAGCAGUUCAGUUGAACUCAGAGAGGUCAAUGAUGGGCAUGCCCCUGUAUCAUCCUCAGCAAUUGAUAAUGGAAAUAGUGAGAAUCUUGAAUAUCUUGAAACAUUUCAUUUAAAUGCCUAGGUGACAAGUGAAAGCGAUAGUCCCGCCAGGAAGAAGGAAGAAUCACGGAGCAAUGUGGGGAUCUCAAAAAUUGAGCAUGUUCCUCUGUUAUUGAUGUCUGAAAUAUCUUGCCAGAAGGAGAAAAAUUCAAUUAGCCCUUGCUCUUGUGUUAAUGAAGUCAAAGUGGCUCAGCUGAAAAGUCCUGCUGUGAUAGGACGUAAAUCUCUUGGUACUUGCGAAGGAGAGCACACAGAUCAAGUUAAUAAUCAGACUUUCGUUGUACUACAAUUUGAUUCUAGAGAGGCAUGUGACUGAUAGGAUCAAGUACAUAUAAAUAUAUGUAUUCAAUAGAAACACUCAGACACUCAACUAACUUAACUCACCAAUUGUAUUAGAAGAAGAACUGAUGAAAAUAGAAACUGGAAAACUCUCUAUUUCAUUCA